CAGCCGGAUCGAGUGCACACAUACUAUUCUUGACAAGCCAUUAAUGCAAGCACUUAUGUUAAUUUCCUACGGAUAGAAGCAGGCUUCGCCAAUGAUCAACUGAUCACGGUCAAUUGGCCACCAGCUUCACAGCAUGCUUUAGGCAGAGCAAAUGAAGUAGAAAUGGAGGAACCUCGCAAAGAAAGAUGUUUGAAGCUAGCGAUUUCUACAUAACG